AUUGAACGCUGGCGGCAGGCCUAACACCUGCAAGUCGAGCGAGCGUCGGACGGGUGAGUAAUGUAUGGGGACUGCCCGAUAGAGGGGGAUAACUACUGGAAACGGUGGCUAAUACCGCAUACUGUCGUAUAACCCAUAUGGGAUUAGCUAGUAGGUAAGGUAAUGGCUUACCUAGGCGAAGAUCCCUAGCUGGUCUGAGAGGAUGAUCAGCCACACGGGGACUGAGACACGGACCAGACUCCUACGGAGGCAGCAGUGGGGAAUAGUGCACAAUGGGCGCAAGCCUGAUUCAGCCAUGCCGCGGGUAUGAAGAAGGCCCUAGGGUUGUAAAGGACUUUCAGUCGGGAGGCGUUACCGACAGAAGAAGCACCGGCUAACUCCGUGCCAGCAGCCGCGGUAAUAC
rnacentral:rRNA from 1 species